GGAGGAGUCGCAUAGUGGUUGAGUGCAGCCGCCUGCUAAGCGGUUAAGCUGGGAAACUGGCUUCGAGAGUUCGAAUCUCUCCUCCUCCGCCU
rnacentral:tRNA from 1 species